CCCCCCUCCAAAAAAAAAAAAAAACCCCAACGCAAACACAGCCGAGCCAGAGCUGAUGCAACCCCGUCCGAAAUCCCUUCCGCCUGUGAAUCUAAAAGCGUCCCAAUAAAAUCUGAGGAUGGCUGAACAAAAGACCGAUUUCUCCGCACAGCCGUGAAAGAUCCUUCCUCGUUGUUUUCC